rnacentral:rRNA from 1 species
CCUACGGGCGGCAGCAGUGGGGAAUAUUGGACAAUGGGGGGAACCCUGAUCCAGCCAUGCCGCGUGUGUGAAGAAGGCCCUCGGGUUGUAAAGCACUUUCAGUGAGGAAGAACGCCUGGUGGUUAAUACCCAUCAGGAAAGACAUCACUCACAGAAGAAGCACCGGCUAACUCCGUGCCAGCAGCCGCGGUAAUACGGAGGGUGCGAGCGUUAAUCGGAAUUACUGGGCGUAAAGCGCGCGUAGGUGGCUUGAUAAGCCGGUUGUGAAAGCCCCGGGCUCAACCUGGGAACGGCAUCCGGAACUGUCAAGCUAGAGUGCAGGAGAGGAAGGUAGAACUCCCGGUGUAGCGGUGAAAUGCGUAGAGAUCGGGAGGAAUACCAGUGGCGAAGGCGGCCUUCUGGACUGACACUGACACUGAGGUGCGAAAGCGUGGGUAGCAAACAGGAUUAGAUACCCUAGUAGUC